GAUAUUUUAGAAAACUUUCAUUUUACGACCCGAAAAACUACGACUAUAUGUUUAUAAUUAUAUAUUACAUAAUAAGAAGAGUGAAAUUUAUUAAAGAGAGAAAUCUAUUGCCUAUAAUCCUAAAAUUACUUUUGCUUUUCGGAAAUUUAUAGAUCGUCUAAGUACCCCUACUCGUCCCUAGAUGAUUCCACUAGCGCUAGUUUGGCAUAUUAUUUUAUUUUCUGUCCAAUAUUUUAUCCGCAUUUAUUUAUGUUUAAAGAUAUAUAAUUUGUAAUAUAUUUAUGAAUAAUUUUUAAUAAUAAAUGAGAUCGAUCGUGUAAACAUGCCUUUUUGUCAUAGACAAUAUCUUUUCUAAGGUUGAUCUAUGUGCGUGCGCUCGUAUAAUGCAACAAAAUUGAAAAUACGUUCUACGAACCCUAACAACAUGCAUAACGCAGCCUACGCAAUUUAGUCGGCUUGUGGCUGACUUUGUUAAGGUUCCCCAUAGAUGGCGUAAGUAACUAGAAUCAAAAUAAUUUAAUAGAAUGCAAAAAUUUUAGUAUUGAAGGUCUUAAAUAUAUAUAUUUUAUAUUAAUUUGAAUAAUAAAGACACAUUUAAUCAAUUAGUAAAUUAAAAUAAUUGAUUCAAUCACGUCACGUCACACCAUAUCAUUCUAGACUGUGUCAAAUCUUACAAAGGAAUUUUGCCCCUGGCAGCUCUAGGCUCUGUCACUUUAUUUACUUCCGUUCUUUUAGAUUCAUAUUAGUAGUUUUUUUUAUACAGCAUUCAUUUUCCUUGCCUAAAAUUUGUUAUUAAAUCCCAAAAUUAUUAAUUAAAGUCAAAAUUACCAAAGAUACCUCAACUACCAGUGUCACAGUGAUUUAACACUUUAAUAAGCAGAUAAGUGACAAACAUCCAACCACCAUAUUGUAAUUCAUCAAGUUGCAUAGAGAAAGUUGACAAAUAAUAAUUACCAUAACCAUGACAGAAGUUUAAACUGAACUGGAAAAGAUCGUCCUCGAGUCGAGUGCGCUUUUUAUGAUUCUCUUAAUAUCCUACCCAUUGCAUAUCGCAAGAACUGUACAAGACAAACGACAUAGAAUUUCGGAUUCAAACACGAUCAUGUUCUACACUUUCGUCAAAAAUUUAUAAAUCUUCAAUGAAUCUAGUGCCGUAAGGUGUCCUAUGACCUAAUGUUUAAACCAUCUAGAACUACGGAUGUUUAAUUAAUGUGCCUAGCUACUGACAGUGCGAGUGAAAUAAACUUAAAAUAUGGAAACUGUUCCUACAAGCAAGGUAAGAUUAUGUUCGUUUUCCUGCUUUAGAAAAGUCAAGGCUAUUGAGAUCUUGUUAAAUAUACUUAAACGUUAGCAAUCAGAAAAUAAUUAGCCACAAAUUGACCUAUCUAGCAUUAAAUCUACUUUUCUAAUUGAUCCUGUCCAUCAUAACCUAACAAAGAUUUCCCAAAUUUUUUAUUAUCCUACUUAAAAAGCUUACGUCUAAUGCAGUGUCAGGCCUAGUGUAUUGUCUCCUUAUUUUUAUGGUUCAGUUCAUUUAUUUUCAAAUAAAAUUGAAUGGGAUCAAAGCGCUGACAAGAUGACAUUUCUAACUUUGUUUUAUACUGCCUAUUUAAUGUUAUUUUGAACCUUCACUACUCAUUUCUUAUUGCAAUAAGACUUACAAGCGAUGUGUAUCUUUUCAGCGGCUGACAACUAUUGAAUGUGGUGUGGACAAGUCAUUACUGAAGAAAAAUAAGUUGAAAUUACACUGUGAGAUUCCGUUUACUGAUUUUGACGAAUCUUUCCUGAGCUUUAAGAGUAAGUAUAACACCUCUGUUACUGGGCAGUUAUUUUUAUGCUUGUCCAUACUAUACUUGAAAUUUGAAAACUGUUAUCGUUCUAUAUGAUGACAUGAGUGAUAUUUUUUUUUUAUAUGAGCUUUUCGAACUUGGUAAUGGAAUAUGUUAUGAAAAUGAAAAUUAUGUGAUCACGCCAGCUAAAUAUAAACAGGAUUUCUUGCGCUACUGAAGAUCUGUUAGUGAAUUGGUAUUUUCCUUUCUAAAAAGAACCUGGCAGUUGUCCGAUCAUUCAUAAAAGUGAACCUAAACUUGAACCUGUCAUAAAUAUUCCUCUUCUUGCAAUUAACCUUACAAUAUAUGUUUAAUCUUUCAGCAAACAGAGUCAACUCUGAUGGCUGCCUAUAUAUAUACCUAUACCUAGCAAUCGGUGAUAUUUAUGCUGAGCGGAGCAAACUUCCAUUUGCUGUUUUCAUGGGCUUUUCCGAGUCUCUCGAUAAUCUCCAAUGCUAUUUGGGACAUUGUCCGAGCCACACAGCGAGUCUAUCAUCCACCUGACCUCAAUCUUUCUCCUGCUGACUGCUUCUAUUUAUGAAAGAUUAUGAAGAAGCAGACCACUCCAGACUCCUGUUCAAUGACUUUAUUUCACGACUUUUGCUGCAACAAUGGCUGCUGUCUUCUGACACUUGAAAGCUCCCGUUCAACGGCUCUAGUACAAGAAAACUGCUCCUACAUCAGCAGUGGUCUACAUUGAAUACUACUUAUAGGGAAAAUUUCACUCAAGAUCUUCCUUUAUAUUAGGUAUCAAGGCGCAAGAA